CCUACGGGAGGCAGCAGUGAGGAAUAUUGGUCAAUGGCCGUAAGGCUGAACCAGCCAAGUAGCGUGAGGGAUGACGGUCCUAUGGAUUGUAAACCUCUUUUGUCAGGGAGCAAAGGGCGCCACGUGUGGCGCUUUGCGAGUACCUGAAGAAAAAGCAUCGGCUAACUCCGUGCCAGCAGCCACGGUAAUACGGAGGAUGCGAGCGUUAUCCGGAUUUAUUGGGUUUAAAGGGUGCGCAGGCGGAAUGUCAAGUCAGCGGUAAAAUUUCGGGGCUCAACCCCGUCGUGCCGUUGAAACUGGCGUUCUUGAGUGAGCGAGAAGUAUGCGGAAUGCGUGGUGUAGCGGUGAAAUGCAUAGAUAUCACGCAGAACUCCGAUUGCGAAGGCAGCAUACCGGCGCUCAACUGACGCUCAUGCACGAAAGCGUGGGUAUCUAACAGGAUUAGAUACCCCUGUAGUC
rnacentral:rRNA from 1 species